AAAGUGGGCUGGGCAAUCGCGGGGGUUUUAUCCUCGAGGAACGUCCGGACUCCAUAGGGCAGGAUAGCGGCUAACAGCCGUCCGGUUGCGCAAGUAACCGAGGAACAGGGCCACAGAGACGAGACUGCAGCGUGGGCACGCAAGUGCACUGAUACGGCGACUUCCGUAUGGCAUUGCCGCAAGGCAAUAACGCCGCAGGGUGAAACGCGGUAACCUCUAUCCGGAGCAACAUCAAAUAGGCAUGUGUCUGGUUCUGCCAGGAAGGGCGGCUCGUCCAAACAUGCGGGUAGAUGGCUAGAACGCAUCAGCAAUGAUGCGUCCAGAGGAAUGAUUGCCAACCAGUUUACUGGUUUACAGAAUCCGGCUUAUAGGCUCACUUUGCCA
rnacentral:RNase_P_RNA from 1 species